rnacentral:rRNA from 1 species
AGAGUUUGAUCAUGGCUCAGGAUGAACGCUGGCGGUAUGGCCUAACACAUGCAAGUCGUACGAGAGUUUUUAACUCUAGUGGGCGGACGGGGUGAGUAACACGUAAGAAUUUACCUUCAGGAGGGGGGAUAACAAUUGGAAACAAAUGCUAAUACCCCAUAUGCUUUCGAGUGAAAUGGAUUUAUAUUUAUCCGCCUAAAGAGAAGCUUGCGUCUGAUUAGCUNGUNGGUAAGGUAAAAGCUUACCAAGGCGACGAUCAGUAUCUGGUUUGAGAGGACGAUCAGACACAC